UACGUAGGGUCCGAGCGUUGUCCGGAAUUAUUGGGCGUAAAGCGCGCGUAGGCGGCCCUGUAAGUCCGCUGUGAAAGUCAAAGGCUCAACCUUUGAAAGCCGGUGGAUACUGCAGGGCUAGAGUCCGGAAGAGGCGAGUGGAAUUCCUGGUGUAGCGGUGAAAUGCGCAGAUAUCAGGAGGAACACCGGUGGCGAAGGCGGGUCUCUGGGCCGAUAUUGACGCUGAGGAGCGAAAGCGUGGGGAGCAAACAGG
rnacentral:rRNA from 1 species